UCAGUUUCUCACACAACUCAUAUUGACUAGCACGACAUUUUUAGAGUCAAACCCUAACCACUAAGAUAGCCGACCUCCUCUUCCUCAUCCUCGCCUCCGACCAGCACUUGACGGCUCUCCUCCUCCUUCUCCACCUCCGAUCGUUCUCCACCCAAUGUCGAAGCACCACUUCUCUCAUCCAUUUUGAUUUCGGCGCAUCUCUUCUCUCAUCUCUUUUCUCAGAUUCACCGAAUCCGCCAACAACGCCAGGGCUCGCCUUGUUCCCUCGUCGAGCCAAGGAAGACGAGACCGUAAAGGUCAAGACGCAUUCGAUUCAGGUGAACUGUCUCCUGCUGGUGUAGGUAGCUUUAGCAUAUCAACUGUACAGAAAAAUCCUUUGAAUCCUAAUCCUGCAACUGUACAGAAAAAUCAUUUUCUCAAACAUUUUCAAGUCCUUUUAAUACCUCAAUCUCAUCUGGUUUAUUUGCCCAAAAACCCUCAUCCUUUGCAUACUCCCAGUAUGCAGAGCAGUUCAUUGGGUACUACAUGCAACCAACUGGGUAUUACUCAACCAUUUCCUGCUUUUCCUACUUUCCAGACAUCUCAACCUCUUCAGAGUAGUCCUUUUGGCUUCAGGCAACACCAACACCAUUAAUCAACCACAGCCAGAGUUGCAAACAGUCAGAGGAGUUAAAGACAAAGGCUAGAGCAAAGAGGUGCGGGUUUGGUCAAGAAAAAAGGCAUCAAAGGAUUAUUUGUACAAAGUAGAAGUAAGGGGCCAUUCCUUGUUGAUGCAACUCUAAGUCAGGUUAGUUAUCAUUUAUCUCUCCCUACUUUCUCAUUUGCUUUUGCAUGGUUUUCAUGAAUUAUGAUGAAUUCUUGAUUUCCAGUAUGUUGUUUGUUGUUUGAUGUCUUGUCUUCAACAAUUCUCAUUUUUUUUUAAAUUUCAGCAAUGGAUAAAUCUUGGAUUAACGAAGAUAGGGAUACUUUAAAGUAUGAAUUGGGUGUUGAAAACUUCUUGCUUUUUGCUGAAGAGAAUGCUAGUAACCCUAAUAAAAUUCGAUGUCCUUGCUCAAAAUGUGUAAACUUCAAAGAGAAGUCGAUUAAAGUCAUAAGGGGACAUUUGUAUGCUUAUGGCUUUAGUUUGAGCUACACAAACUGGAUUUGGCAUGGAGAACCUACUUUGUCCUCCUAUGCUAGUGCACCUAGUCCUUUAGGUGUACCUCAAAACCCUCAUUUUGGUUCUGAAACCAUUGAUAUGUGUCAAGCAGCCUUUAAUGAAGGUGAUUAUGAUGAGGAGUCCUAUGAGUUCAAUAAGUUUGUUGAGGAAGCAGAAAAACCAUUAUUUGAGGAUAGUGAACACACCAAGUUAGAUGCAUUGGUGCAACUUCACAAUUUGAAAGCUAGGUUUGGUACGAGUGAUACUUGUUUUUCUGAGUUACUUGCCACUGUUGGGUCUUUGCUUCCAAAAGAUAAUGUACUACCUCAAACCUUAUAUGAGGCAAAAAAACCCUCACCAAUUUGGGGCUGCAAUGUUGUAUAAACCUAUCACACACAAUACAAUAAGUGGGAGACUUCCUCUUUUUAUUCCAAUACUGAAUGUUGGCUUAUAUAGCCUUACAAAGAAAUAGAUAGAAACAAAUAGCACUAGCAACGUAGAUCAUGGGGAGGAAACAUUCAAACCUAACGUACUGUCAUCAAUAAGUAGGAUUUAAUAUCUAACGUACUGCCCUCAUAAGUAGGGUUAACGUAUUGCCCAAAUAAAUUGGGUUUAUUUACUGCAAUAACUAAAACAAACUCGAACGUUCAGAAUAACAGUUAAGCCAUAGCUGUUCCAACAUAUCCCCCCUUAAACUGUUUGCACUUGUGCAAUCAGUUUAUACCUGGUACCGUGCACAUCCCAAGUAGCUCACGAAGCUUCUCAAACACUUCAAGCUUCAGUGGCUUCGUCAUGAUGUCUGCUAUUUGAUUCUGUGAGUUGCAAUGGACCAGCUCCACUGUUCCAUCUUUGGUAAGGUCACGAAGGAAAUGGAAACGUACAUCAAUAUGUUUGCUUCUUCCAUGCAGCACCGGGUUCUUCGAAAGUUUUAUAGUGGAGCUGUUAUCACAAUACACGGUUGUGCUUCCAUGCUGAGCAUGGCCAAGCUUUUCAAGAACUCUGCGCAUCCAAAUUCCUUGACAAGCACAGGAGGCUGCAGCUAUAAACUCAGCUUCGGUGGUAGAUAAGGUAACUACAGGUUGCUUUUUAGAAGACCAUGAAACUGCACCGGUGCUAAGUAGAAACACGUAUCCGGAUGUGCUCCUCCGGUCAUCUAGAUCACCUGCGUGGUCACUAUCCUUGUAUGCCUCAAGCUUCUCGUUCCCAUUUCGUUUGUACAGAAUCCCCAAAUCAACAGUGCCUUUGAGAUACCUGAGGACUCUUUUAACUGCUUGCAUGUGUAGCUCAGUCGGACUUCCCAUAAACCUGCUGAUUAAACUUAUCACAUACAUGAGAUCUGGCCUAGUAGCUGCCAAGUACAUCAAACAGCCAACAACCUGCUUAUACAUAGUGGCGUCCACCUUCACACCACUUUCAUCUUUCAUCAACUUGAAUCUAGGGACAAUAGGGUUCCUAGACGAGUUGCUCUUCUCCAUUCUUAAUCUCUCCAACACCUCCUUUGCAUACUUUCUUUGGCAAAUGUAAAUCCCAUCCUCAUUCUGAACAACCUCGACUCCAAGGAAAUAACGCAUCUUACCGAGAUCCGUCAUGUCAAACUCUUGUUUCAUAGACUUCUUAAACUCCUCAAACAUGUAUUCAUCAUUGCCAGUAAAUUUAAGGUCAUCAAUGUAAAUACUAACAAUGAGAAUGGUACCUUUUUCUCCUAACUUCACGAACAAGGUAUGCUCAUGUGGGCACCGUUCAAAUCCUUCCCUGAUGAAGUAGGCUUCGAUACGACUGUACCACGCACGUGGAGCUUGUUUGAGGCCAUACAAGGCUUUCUUCAAUUUAUACACUUUCAACUCAUCACCCUUCUUCACAAACCCUUGUGGCUGAUCAACGAAAACGGUUUCAUUUAACUCACCAUGCAGAAAUGCACUCUUUACGUCCAUUUGAUACAUACACCAUCCCUUUUUAGCAGCAAGAGCAAUUAUCAUGCGUAUGGUGUCCCACCUAGCCACAGGUGCAAACACCUCAGUAUAAUCGAUCCCAUACUAUUGAGCAUACCCCUUAACAACAAGCCGUGCUUUGCAUUUAUCCACUUCUCCACUUUCAUUCAACUUAGUUUUGAAUAUCCAUUUUACUCCGAUAGUUUUUGCUCCUUUUGGCAACUUGGUCAAUUCCCAAGUACCAUUUUUCUCGAUUGCCUCUAUUUCUUGAACCAUUGCGGCCUGCCAUUUUUCACUUUUGUGCGCCUCUUCAAACGUAGUUGGAUCGGACGUAGAGGCGAACAUCACAAGAUUGUGCAAUUCUUCUUCUUCUGACAGCCCUUCUCCACUUUCAUAGUCUUGCAUCCACACCGGUAAUCUCCUUGUCCUCCCUUCUUCUUGAGCUUCUUCUUCCGACUGAUUUGAGGAAGAGCUAGUUGCUCCUUCUCCUUCAGCUCCUUCUUCUUGGUCACUUUCCACUACUAGAACAAUGUCAUUAGACAUCACCACUAUUAAAUCGGUCAGGAUUGCACCUGAUGUUAAAAAUCAUGUUAACAUCAGUUUGUGAAGAAACCGAUUUCUAUUGUUAUUAUGGACAUCAGUCACCAAAGAAACCGAUGAGAAAAGUUUCGUACGAAAAAUUUACAAAAACGCGGAGGGACUAAGUUGAAAAAUUUGAGAAACGCGGGGACUAAAAAUUUCAUUCCCCCCAUACUUAGUUUUUUUUCCCACACCACUUGCAUUGACUUUGAGUCAUUCCCUAACCCUAACUCAUUUUCACCCAACCUCCUUGUCUUCCUCCUCCGCCUCUGAGCAGCAGCUUACCCUUAUCCAGGGUUCUAAAACGCUCCGUCGCUCUCUCUCUCUCUCUCUUUUCUGCACGCUCCGUCGGCCGUCGGCCAGUCACUCUCUCUCUAUCUGACAGGCUCUCUCUCGAUCAGUCGAUUGACUCGAUUCUCAGUCUCUCUCCGGCCAGCUCUCUAGCUCUCCAGCUCGCAGGCUUCAAGCUUGGUGAUUCUUCAACCUCGAAGCUUGGUGAUUCUUCAUUCUUCACGCUCGAUUUCUGGGUUCAAGUGGUGAUUCUUCAAGCUCGAUUUUUGGGUUUUGGAUUCUCUGUUUCUGCAAGCUCUGUAGUUUCUUGCCCUUGUGCACUGGGUUUUGCAACACCCACAGCAAUCCUAGUUGGCACUUCUCUUGGAGCAAGGCUAGGUUGGCCAGUAUAGAUCAUUUUGCUUUAGACAAGUUAUCUCUGCAAUCUCACUCGAAGCUUCAACCUUCAGACAGGAACCCUCACUAAAGGAAAACCUGCCGUUUCUAGCAUUGCUUCUUUCAAGUAUAAAGACUUGGAAAUUCUUCAAAUAGCUGCUGCUGUAGAGAGUACAGCAUCACAUCCAAUUGCUGAUGCUAUCUUAAAUAAAGCCAAAUCAUUGGAGUUGAGUAUUAAGAUUUGAGCACUGCUCAAUCAGAUUGACAUGGCCCAUUAAGAUUUGAGCAAAAACUAGAAAGUUUCUGCUGAAAUGGGAAGAGUUUUGACUGGAAGAAGUGUUGUGGAUGAGUCCAUGCUCACAGGAGAAUCGCUUCCUGUAUUUAAGGAAAAAGAACUUACCGUCUCAGCUGGAACAAUAAAUUGGGAUGGUCCUCUGAGAAUUGAAGCAACUUCAACUGGCUCCAAUUCAAUGAUUUCCAAGAUUGUUCGCAUGGUUGAGGAUGCUCAAGGCCAUGAAGCACCAAUUCAAAGGCUUGCUGAUUCAAUAGCUGGACCUUUUGUAUACACUAUAAUGACUCUCUCAGCUACAACAUUUGCUUUUUGGUACUACAUUGGAACUCAUAUUUUUCCUGAUGUUUUGCUCAAUGAUAUUGCUGGGCCAGAUGGAGAUUCAUUGCUAUUGAGCUUGAAACUAGCUGUGGAUGUCUUGGUGUGUAUGGUGAACAAAUGAAUAUAAAGAUACUGUCCAGAAGGGUAUCAGAACUGUCCUGUUUUCUAAGGACAGGGAAGAGGAAGUUGCAACUAUAGCAAAAUCAGUUGGAAUAGAAAAGGAAUUUAUCAAGUCAUCAUUGACUCCACAGGGAAAAUCUGGAGCUAUUUCUAGUCUUAAAGCUGCAGGGCAUCAUGUUGCAAUGGUUGGUGAUGGCAUACCCAACAACAACUUGACGAGGUCCGCAUUGAAGUAGCCGACUACUUACAGACUCUGCUAUAGGUUCUGACCAAUUUCUUGAUUUUGAGUUAGGCUAGCUUUUAAUUAACUUUUUUGAAGCAAUUAUGAACAAACAUGAAUACUAAUUGCUAGGCUAGCCUUGUAGUAUAUAGGUGCAUGAAUUGGGGUUUUAUUUUGCCCAUUUUGUAAACUAUUAAGGAUGAUGAAUGUCGGAUAUAAUACCCCAAUUUGCAAUUUAUAAUCACAGUUCUAUUUUGUGGACA